rnacentral:misc_RNA from 1 species
GCACUCUCACAUAUAACCUUUGGGUUAAAAUGUGGAAUUGGGAUGCGCCGGUUAUUAUAACAGCCCUCCUAAAAUCCAGUUCUUGGCUGCUUCCUACUACAGCAGUUUGGCCUAAUAGUUUUGAGUCCUCGAUUCAAAUCUUUGGCUAACAUUUGCUUCAGGAUGUCAGUCUUGAUAUACGGAAAUCUCAUUCAAA